UAGUUCCACUAAGUUCAGUCACCAAAACAGAGGGAGGGAGUGAGGGCGAGAAGUAGAUUCAGGAAAGGGAGAUCUCAUCGUCGAAACCCUAAGUUUACUGUCACCGUCGUCGCCACCGUCGCCGCCUUAGGUCAUCUCCAUCCUCCAAAUCGGCGCCUCCGCCUCCCCUGACAUCUUCCUCCACCUCCUCCCAUCCCGCUUUCCAAUCUCCUCAACAUCCACAUCGACGAGCGCCUCUCCGUUACCCUUCCCCUCUCUCUUUCCGUUCUCGCCGGAAGGUGCUCUCUCAAGGUGCAUUGUAUUGCCGACAACACCUCUUCCGUCGUUUGAGAUGAAAGCAAGAUUGUCAGGUGGUCAUUUCAGGAUGAUUAACGAGAAGCUCUACACUUGCACGUGGCCUCAUAUUAUUGUUCCAACCUUUAAAAUUAUUGCGGCGGAAUGUUUGCAGAAGAUUCAGAUUGGAGAAUAAAUAUCACUAGUUAGGAUAAUGAAGCUUUCAUGGUUGCUGUCUACAAGGGAGGCUAUAGUGCACUAUUAUCUAUUUGAGCACUAUCAAGAUGACUUGGCAGUUGUUCUUUUGAAUUUGAUCCAAGUUUCAAGAAAUUUCAAGAAACCACUGAUAGUUAACACCGUCUCUGGUGAGAAAACUGGAGCAAUUACAUGUUUCGAAAGAGCGACCUGUGCCAUCAUUUUUCCUAUGUCCAAUCCUUCAGCCUGUCAACUGUGUACCAGAAGAGAGUAAGCCAGAUGGUUAGUUAAAUUGAAUUCUUCUCUUGAAAGUUAUUUCUGUGUCUUUCUAGGACCCCAAACACAGGAUUGCUCGAAUUAUAUCACUUUCCAAGUCCGUAGUUACUAGUUACAGCAUUUGAUGAUGUUAGUGUGGAAGACCCUGAGUUUAGAUCUAUUCAAGCCUUAGCAGAAGUUGGUAUAGUUCCCAGCAAAUUAUAUUCAAAGGAUAAUUAUGGUUCUGGUAGAUCGAACAUCAAAGAUGACAUAAAUUUUUGUUCUGAUAGAUUCAUCUCAAGACAGGAUUUAAAAGACUGAAAAGCUUGGUUGGAGUAUGAUUUUUUUCUGGAGUUACUGAUCAAGUAGGCCGCUUUCAAAAUAAUAGUGUAUGGAGUUUUGAUUGAAUGAAUUAGGACUAUUAUAAUAUAAAAUUGAACUUUGUUUUUUCUCCUUUAUUUAACGGUUCUAGAAAGAAGCAGGAGGUGAUUCUGAUUUGAGGAGUGAAGUUAGAAGGAAAGUUAAACCUAGGGUUACAACAUUUGGGAGACAGAGGUUUGAUUGGUUGGAUUAGGUUUGAGAUUUAUAACUAUUAUACAUUUCUAAAGCUGUUUUGGCAUGAAUGAAUUAAGAUUUUUGUUUAUAUUUGAUGGAAACCUUGUAUUGCAUUUAAUUUUCUGUAUUUAGUGAGUUAAAUAUAAUUUUAGCUGAUUGAAUGUUAGGGAUC